rnacentral:rRNA from 1 species
AGACCCGAAACCCGGUGAUCUAGCCAUGGGCAGGUUGAAGGUUGGGUAACACUAACUGGAGGACCGAACCGACUAAUGUUGAAAAAUUAGCGGAUGACCUGUGGCUGGGGGUGAAAGGCCAAUCAAACCGGGAGAUAGCUGGUUCUCCCCGAAAGCUAUUUAGGUAGCGCCUCGUGAAUUCAUCUCCGGGGGUAGAGCACUGUUUCGGCUAGGGGGCCAUCCCGGCUUACCAACCCGAUGCAAACUGCGAAUACCGGAGAAUGUUAUCACGGGAGACACACGGCGGGUGCUAACGUCCGUCGUGAAGAGGGAAACAACCCAGACCGCCAGCUAAGGUCCCAAAGUCAUGGUUAAGUGGGAAACGAUGUGGGAAGGCCCAGACAGCCAGGAUGUUGGCUUAGAAGCAGCCAUCAUUUAAAGAAAGCGUAAUAGCUCACUGGUCGAGUCGGCCUGCGCGGAAGAUGUAACGGGGCUAAACCAUGCACCGAAGCUGCGGCAGCGACACUCAGGUGUUGUUGGGUAGGGGAGCGUUCUGUAAGCCUGUGAAGGUGUGCUGUGAGGCAUGCUGGAGGUAUCAGAAGUGCGAAUGCUGACAUAAGUAACGAUAAAGCGGGUGAAAAGCCCGCUCGCCGGAAGACCAAGGGUUCCUGUCCAACGUUAAUCGGGGCAGGGUGAGUCGACCCCUAAGGCGAGGCCGAAAGGCGUAGUCGAUGGGAAACGGGUUAAUAUUCCCGUACUUGGUGUUACUGCGAAGGGGGGACGGAGAAGGCUAUGUUGGCCGGGCGACGGUUGUCCCGGUUUAAGCGUGUAGGUGUGUGUUCCAGGUAAAUCCGGUUCACUUUAACACUGAGGCGUGACGACGAGGCACUACGGUGCUGAAGCAACAAAUGCCCUGCUUCCAGGAAAAGCCUCUAAGCAUCAGGUAACAUCAAAUCGUACCCCAAACCGACACAGGUGGUCAGGUAGAGAAUACCAAGGCGCUUGAGAGAACUCGGGUGAAGGAACUAGGCAAAAUGGUGCCGUAACUUCGGGAGAAGGCACGCUGACAUGUAGGUGAAGUGAUUUACUCAUGGAGCUGAAGUCAGUCGAAGAUACCAGCUGGCUGCAACUGUUUAUUAAAAACACAGCACUGUGCAAACACGAAAGUGGACGUAUACGGUGUGACGCCUGCCCGGUGCCGGAAGGUUAAUUGAUGGGGUCAGCGCAAGCGAAGCUCCUGAUCGAAGCCCCGGUAAACGGCGGCCGUAACUAUAACGGUCCUAAGGUAGCGAAAUUCCUUGUCGGGUAAGUUCCGACCUGCACGAAUGGCGUAAUGAUGGCCAGGCUGUCUCCACCCGAGACUCAGUGAAAUUGAACUCGCUGUGAAGAUGCAGUGUACCCGCGGCAAGACGGAAAGACCCCGUGAACCUUUACUAUAGCUUGACACUGAACAUUGAGCCUUGAUGUGUAGGAUAGGUGGGAGGCUUUGAAGUGUGG